rnacentral:rRNA from 1 species
UACGUAGGGGUCUAGCGUUGUCCGGAAUUAUUGGGCGUAAAGAGCUCGUAGGCGGUUCGGCAAGUCGGAUGUGAAAUCUCCACGCUUAACGUGGAGGGGCCAUUCGAAACUGCCGUGACUCGAGUCCGGUAGGGGAGUGCGGAAUUCCCGGUGUAGCGGUGAAAUUCGUAGAUAUUGGGAAGAACACCGGUGGCGAAGGCGGCGAGCUGGUCCAUUACUGACGCUGAGGCGCGACAGCGUGGGGAGCAAACAGG